GACAGCGUGUCCGAGUGGUUAAGGAGGUAGACUUGAAAUGCACUAGGCUCUGCCUGCGCAGGUUCCAAUCCUGCCGCUGUCG
rnacentral:tRNA from 1 species